rnacentral:rRNA from 1 species
GGACGGGUGAGUAACACGUGAGAUUUACCUUUAGAGGGGGAUAACAAUUGGAAACGAAUGCUAAUACCCCAUAUGCUUUCGAGUGAAAUGGAUUUAUAUUUAUUCGCCUAGAGAGAAGCUCGCGGCUGAUUAGCUUGUUGGUAAGGUAAGAGCUUACCAAGGCGACGAUCAGUAUCUAGUUUGAGAGGACGAUCAGACACACUGGAACUGAGACACGGUCCAG